GCCCCAGUGGAUCAAGGCAGAUCAUCCCUUUCAAUUACGGAAGAAAUUGUCAAACUUGAGGGAAGCCGGAGGUUCGAACUCUCCCUGGGGCA